UACGUAGGGGGCAAGCGUUGUCCGGAAUUAUUGGGCGUAAAGAGCGUGUAGGCGGUUCGAUAAGUUUGCUGUAAAAGGCGGGGGCUCAACCCCCGAAAGCCGGUGAAUACUGUCGGACUAGAGUGCGGAAGAGGCGAGUGGAAUUCCUGGUGUAGCGGUGAAAUGCGCAGAUAUCAGGAGGAACACCAAUUGCGAAGGCAGCUCGCUGGUACGUAACUGACGCUGAGACGCGAAAGCGUGGGGAGCAAACAGG
rnacentral:rRNA from 1 species